AAAAUCCAGAUGUUGCGGAAGCAGAUCUGAUCGGGCCGGUUGUUAUAUAUAAGAUUAAAGACUCAAACAGUUUAUGCUUUUUCAAACACUGGUGGGCCUACACGCGAGAUUAACUCGUAGACCUAAAUACCGUCAGUUAAAGAGAAAUAGAAAUAUGUCUUUUAAAGUGGAGUGUGUAUCAUUGCUAAUUCUAGGGCUGUCUGUCAGCAGCGAGCAAUCAGUUCUUCAGGACUUGGAACCGGGCACGCCGUUGUCAAGGUUUGAUUACGAAUAUCAACUGCUGAAGAAAACAGUUGACUUAGAGAUGGAACUAUCUUUACUGAAGAAAAAGAUGGGGGGGGUUAGAAGCUAAUCAAGAUUUAAGUAGAACCACGGCUUGUGAUGAUGGUUGGCUGGCUUACAAAGGUUCAUGCUAUCUAUUCGGACCGAGUAGAUCUGGAUUUACCUCAGCAAAGGAAUUCUGUGAUCUGAAUGGUGCAUAUCUGGUCCGUGUGGAGAAUGUACAAGAAGAUACGUUCCUUAGAACAUUUAUGGACACUCACCUGAAUGAAAACGCUGAUUAUUGGCUGGGGAUAAAUGAUAACGUCAUUGAAGGUGUGUGGAAAUUUACCGAUGAUGGGACAAAUGCGCCGUAUCUUGGUUGGGGUGGAACCGAGCCACAGGACGCAGGUACAAAUGGCGAGGAUUGUGCUGCGUUUGGCCACCUUCUGAAAUACAAGUGGAUAGAUGUGCCUUGCACGUCCCUCAGAAGGCCGUUGUGCGAGAAAAAGCCAAUGAAGCCGAAGGCCAUUUCAUUCCAAAGACAUGAUAGCGACUAGAAAUAUGUCAUGAAAUCGAAGAAGAGAUUAAUUGCUGAAACAACUGUACCGGAGUGAUUUCACGCACACACACACACACACGCACGCACGCACGCGCGCGCGCGCACGCACGCACGCACGCACACACACACAUAUUCAUACAUACAUAAAUACAUACAUGAUACAUAAAUACAUGCAUGCAUCCAACCUUCCAUCCAUCCAUCAUAAUUAUAUACAUAUUGCUUGUUUUCAGAUUUACACAUUGGCUGCAUCAAUUUUAUAUAAAUUGUCAGACAUUAAUAUUCUUGGGAAGUAAUUAAAAUUAUUUCUAUGAUGAAUAUACUGAAAAGCUAUUAAAA